rnacentral:rRNA from 1 species
CCCUUAGAUGUUCUGGGCCGCACGCGCGCUACACUGACGAAUGCAACGAGCUUAUAACCUUGGCCGAAAGGUCUGGGUAAUCUCCAAAUUUCGUCGUGAUGGGGAUAGAUUAUUGCAAUUAUUAAUCUUCAACGAGGAAUGCCUAGUAAGCGCAAGUCAUCAGCUUGCGUUGAUUACGUCCCUGCCCUUUGUACACACCGCCCGUCGCUCCUACCGAUUGAAUGGUCCGGUGAAGCGUUCGGACCGUGGCCUUUGGACGGUUCGCCGUCUGUUGGCUGCGCGAAGUUCGUUAAACCUUAUCAUUUAGAGGAAGGAGAAGUCGUAACA